AUACGUAGGGUGCAAGCGUUAAUCGGAAUUACUGGGCGUAAAGCGUGCGCAGGCGGUUUUGUAAGACAGAGGUGAAAUCCCCGGGCUCAACCUGGGAACUGCCUUUGUGACUGCAAGGCUAGAGUGCGGCAGAGGGGGAUGGAAUUCCGCGUGUAGCAGUGAAAUGCGUAGAUAUGCGGAGGAACACCGAUGGCGAAGGCAAUCCCCUGGGCCUGUACUGACGCUCAUGCACGAAAGCGUGGGGAGCAAACAGGAUUAGAUACCCUGGUAGUCCACGCCCUAAACGAUGUCAACUGGUUGUUGGGGAUUUAUUUUCUCAGUAACGAAGCUAACGCGUGAAGUUGACCGCCUGGGGAGUACGGCCGCAAGGUUAAAACUCAAAGGAAUUGACGGGG
rnacentral:rRNA from 1 species